GGUGUCUUGCCUCCCCAUACCACAUGUAGAACUUUGUGGCAUUAUGAUGUCCAGGGGAACUGGGACAGGACCUCAGAGGCAGAUGGACCCGGGUACACACGACCAUGUAGAAUCUGCUCUGGAUCACAAUACAGCUCCACCAAAUCCAGUUUCUGACCUAGGGGAAUGGCCAGCAGCAUAUGCCCAGCAAAAAGCAUUAAUCAAACUUGUUGCCCUCCCUUUUCAAGUAGAACCUUGAGUUAGAAGAUCAAAGUCCUUAAGGCUGGUUCGAAUCAGAUAGGCACCCAUGUCUCAGCUGCUUAAGAGCAAGUUGCGUAAGACACAGUGCCUGAAAUACCUCAGUCUGGAAGCGCCAUCAUUGUGUUCAUGCGAAAAUGAAAACAAAGACAACCGAAGACUGGGGAGACUGAUGAGCCCAGAUAACGCUAAAGUACACACAAACUAACGGAAGCUCCUGCUCUAUUUUGACAUUCUUGGAAAAUCAGAAGACAAAGUGGGCAGAAAAGAGGAACCUGUGGACUACUGCUGUCUGGGCACUUGCAUGAAUGACAAUGACGCCAAAUGUACAGAUAUUAUCAAUUUCCUUCACUGCAACAAAAGGAUCAUCUAUGCAGAAGAUACCUGUUCUAGAAGCCUGAGAACAAUUUCCACACCUGGGAGAUUUGUCAGAUGGUAUCUACAGACAGCUAAGGGGCUACACUGCACUGGCAGCUUAGGGUGAUUCCUGGAGGAAACAUUGUGAGGGACUCACUGCUGGAGGACUGCCCGACUCAACUCUCACUCUUUUUGAUACACCCGAAAAACUGUAGUGGGAGGAGACCUGUGCUGGGAUUGGCAGAGAUGCUCACAAGCAAGGAGUCAGCUGCUGGAAGGGGAGAGAGGUCUUUGCUGUGCAGUACUUCUGUUUCUGUAUGGCACCAGCAUUUAUGAAGAGGUUAGGAAGGACUGCAGAUGCUGUGGAGGAAAAACACCUGAAGAAGUUAGAGCUCUGUAGAGGAACAGCACUUAGAGAUGCUGGUAGAAGUCGGCAGGUGUCAGUAACUGAUUAACGUGUGUCUCUGGAAUGCCCAGAGUCAGAUCUCAUGGUGUAGCUACAUUUUGAAAACGGGAUGAGAAAAUAGAAGUUUUACAGGUCCAUCUUUAGCAAUACACUGUGAAUGCAUCACUCCCCUCCUUCCCAUUUCCCAAAACUGUUUAAUAAAGGCAAGGUUACUGGUGCCACCAGUGCAAGUUCCAGCCAUGGUCUUUCUCCAUACUGGGAAAUGAAGGCUCGAAGGUGGAAAGUUUCCAAAUCACUGCAGAACAUCACUAGAAAUCACCGUUGCUUCAUUUUUUCUUCCUGCUGAGACUUGUCAUCCUUAAAGCUAUGGGGAGGGCUAUUGCAUAAGGCUGGCAUUGUUCAGGCAAGAAAGCUUCCUGACCAUGAUGGCUGCCACUGACACAAUCUGCAGAAGUCUUCACUUGAAAUAUGGCUCAGGAUAUUCUCAUGCAGCUCCCCUAGGCAGCCAGGUUGCUUUAAUUAAUCUUACUACUCUUUGGUGUACAAUGAACCAACAGGAAUUGUAUAGUGCAGUGAGCGGAUCAGGGCUGUGCAAUAAAAAUAAGGGUGCUUUAUCUUAGUCUGUAGUCUUUUUAUGGGGAAAAAACAGUAUUUAUAUUAUUCUGGAAAACUUCUAUAACCUUUGAAGGGAGAGUAAUGGCAUACAGAUUUAAGCUGUUUUGACACAAACACAUAUUCUGCCCUCUUUCCAAAGAUUUUAGUGUGGUUGAACUGGAUGCUUUAGAAAGCUGAAAAGUACC